CUGUAUCACACAUUAAUGUCCUGCAGGGUUAGAGUGGAUGUCUGUGGUACGCAAACUUUUCGCUGAUUGUUUGGAAGGAACGCCCUGUUUUCAUGCUGUCGCUCGAUGACCGUGGGCACCAGCAGGCGAUGACACAGACCUAUGGUUCCAUCAGCUGACUGGCCUGUGUAGCAGAGCCAUGAAAGAAGCGAAGGAAGCCGAGAAGUCGUGGAGGCGUCGCCAGGUGGUCUUGCUGCAUGUUCAGAAGAGAAAUCCCUCUUUCUCGUGCUUAAUCGCGGAAGGGUGUUGACCCGGACUCGACGCCUUUGUCUGGAUGUGCCCGUCCUCUACAGACGACGGCUCUAUACGGCAACGGUGAACGGCGUCUUCUUCGUACAGGGGGUACUUCGAGCGUAAUCUACCUAGUUCCUGCUGUGAGAAGCAAGCAAGCAAGCAAGCAUGCAUGGAGAGAACUGCUGUGGUCCUCUCGGAGAAGCCAAAGGUGUUCAACACUACUGCAGCGGAGGAAGUCUAACGAAGAGGACAUCAGCGAAGUCUUUAUGUACUUGUUUGGAAGACACAAAUAAUCUCGGAAUUGAGCAUACACUUUACACACAGUUAAAAAAAAAAAAAAAAGGCGCGCGUACAUAUGAAUAUCAGAUAAAAAUUUCGAUGGUUGGGGGGGGGGAUUGGUUUCGUGUUCCUCUAGAAAGUGCUUUUAGUGCGCGAUAAUUU